ensembl:lncRNA
AUGCCUAUUACCCUCCAGGACCAAGAUUGCCUACACCUGUUGUAGACAUUGCAUAUUUGGCUAUCCACUGUCGGCCUGAUUCAUUUGGCCCCGGCACUGAUUGUUCCCAGGUGUGAAUCCUUGUGGGAUGUUUCCUUUCUUGUUUUUCAAAGCCCUUAAUAUGUUUUUGGUUGUCCAACUGGCCACUUUCAUGUAUACCUUCUGCCAAAUCUCAGGGACUGUAACAACCAAAAAGUUGGAAUGUGGAACUGUCAUCCAGGUAGACUCUGGGCAGGAUGGAGUCCUACAUUGCUCUGUGAUUCUUGGUGGUGAAUCAUCUCGGGACGUGAUGAUAGAGCAGGUGGUGUGGUGGAAGAAGGACCAGAAUCACCAUCGCACCCAUCCCCCAGUUUUCCAAUACAGCUUAGAUGAUCCCAGAUUUCUGCCAAGUCAAAGAUAUCAGCUCGCAGGGUCAUUUGGCGUUGAGGAAGAGGGCGACUUGUCCCUGUUGGUCAGAAAAGCCCAGCCUGCAGAUGAAGGUCUGUAUGAGUGUGUGGUGGCCACCAACCUUGGACAGUGGAAUUGUACAAUCAUCCUAGAGGUUACAGGACCAAUGCUUAAGGAUCCUGAGGACCAAAAUGAGAUGCCCAAGAGGAACUUGAUGUGGUUGGCAGCUGUAUUUGUGGUUGUAGGCUCUCUUGCUUCUGGACUGUUGCUUCUCAAGCUGUUUCAAACCACAACACCCUGACGAUGUCUGUACCCAAGAUUACGCUGGUUAUGGUGAACAUUUUGCUGCGAUUGUCUUCAGUCCUUUGUUUUUCUCUCCGUUGUGUCCUACAAACCGCUGCUUUCAACAGUCUGUAAAGAGUGAGGAAUGCAAGAAGAUUAGGAAAGAAUUUCCUGUGUUUCAAAUGCCAGGAUGUUAUUUAUAUUACUUUCUUUAUUGCAUUUCCCCCCACAUGCAGAUAGAAACUAAGAACUUUUGUAUUGUAAGUGUAAGUCUUGGUGAUCCAUGAGGAAUUUGUAGUUGCAGAAGGUAUGUAUUAAUAGAUUAUUGACAUUUGCAUCAUAUUAACAUAUGGAAUGUUGGGUGAUCCCCAGUAAAGCAUGAGCCUAGCUUAAGAAAGCCAUGUUGAUGGACAGGACUGUUCCCAUAACAUUCUCAGAAGUUCUAUGGGCUCUUUUCCCUCUCAGUCUUAGCUCUGUUCUAUUGCAGGCUACAGCCAGAUGACUGGAUAUGACUGCACUGCCUGAUAUGGCUGGAAGAGGGAGCAAUCUGGUGCAACAAGCCAAUUCUGGUUCUUUUCAGAACUUACCGUUUGACCAGUCAGAAUCUUGUGAAAAGUCAAAUGUAAAAUAUCAAUGCAAUUUACAUCGCCAGAUCGUAUAAACCAAACCAGAUAUUUUUUAGCAUUUAUUGUGAUAUUGUGAAUAAAACCUGAAGUUAGGUUUGGGACAUUGGUUAUGGGAUCUUUGGAAGAAUAUGCACAUUGUCAGGGUUACACAAUUAUUUGUAAUACUAUAAAUGCGCUCAAACUACACAUGAAAAGUAUUUUUUUAUCUUUAUCUUCUAUGUACAAACUCUCCUCUCUGUACCCCAGUAUUUCCUUGAAAUAUUAUUAUAACACCAUAAUGGGCCACAUAGUGUGGAAAACCAUAAUUAUACACUUCCCUUUGAUUUAAAAAAGUAUAUGACCUCUACAUUUAUCUGCUCAAUAUAUUAUAGUCAAAUAAAACCGAUGUCACCUUAAAGUAACUAAUUUGUCAGUGUUUUAUAAUAAAGGUCAAAACUAAUAGUUUUUCCUAUGUAAGGUAGUUAAAUAACAUCUCAGGGGUUUGAAUAGUUUUUUUGUCCCAAGAUACUGUUAAAGCCUUUCCAUGGUUCAUGCAGUGGGAAUUUGGAGAGUUGCAACUGUUUUUAUUUCCACAAGAGGGGGGGCUCCCUUUAUUCUCUGCAUUAUUUCAAUCAAACAUUCCUAGAGUACGGCCUUACAUCACAUUGAAAGCAGCAUAUCUGGACACUUGUCACUUCACAUCUGGUUUACAGCAACUCACUGUUUGUAGGGCUCCAGGUAGUGAUGGCCAUUCGAGGCUUCAUUAGCAUUAUUUUAGCAGCAGGAUAUUAUGCUGGCAGUGCUCAGAUUUUCUUAAUCACAAUAAAAAACAUUAUUUAAAUGUAUAUAGUUAUACAUUUCAAUGUAAUAUAGAUAACAUUCUAGUCUGUGAAAAAGAAGAGAAAAGAAUAACAUGGGUAUGGACAUUAAACAUAAAAUGUAUAGACUAGAUUGUUAACUAUAUUACCUUAUACAUUUAAAUGAUGGCUUUUAUUUUGAAAAAGAAAAUCUGCAUUUGCACUGCUAGCACAAUAUCCUGAUGCUAGAGGAACGGUAAUGAAGCCUUGAUUGGCCAUUAUUAGGUCCGGGCAUGGGCCACCAAACCCCUGCGACUUAUUCAGAAUGUAGCGACCUGCCUGGUGUUCAAGUUCUCCAUGUCACCCUGCUUCUCACACCACUGGUUUCCAGUUGAAGUUUGUAUCUGCAACAACAGGAGCCUCUCCCCCCCUGCAGCUAUGCUCCAACUCUUCACCUCUACCCAGGCUCUUCAUUCAGCCACCACCGGGCUCACCCCCUCCCCGCUUCGGGGCAGCUCCCAAUUUACAAAGUCAGAACUCUUCAUUGUCCUGUCCCUCAAUGGUGGAACUAAGAUCCCAUGGGGGCUAGAAUAGCUGAGACUGCCCAUUUUCAAAAAACCUAACUAAAAUGGUUCCACUCCCACCACCUCUGUUGUCUUUUUAUAAUAAUGUAAAUAAAUAAUAGACUUUGUUUUUAUUAUUUGUAUGGUCUUCUUUCCAGCACUGGGUUUGGCUGAAACUAAUGCAUUGACUAGAAUGCCAUCACUACUGAGCUGUGUGUUUGUUUUAUCUAGCUCUCUUAAAAUGUAUGCAGUUACGGUAAAUCACUCUAGAUAAGUGCAUCUGCUAAUGACUAAUGUGAAAAUGGUGUGCUGGCUCUUGUACAGCUCACCAAGUCAACAUCAGGGGCCGUAAAAGAGAAAGAUGUCCGAGGAUCAUUUGGACGCUUCCAUUACUAGUCAUCUGAGUGAGAUAAUGGUGCUACAGAAAGUGGCAAGCAAAGACGGUUGUCUGCAAAGCCAGGCUGCCAUGGUCAGACAUCUCUUGUUCUGAUCGAGUUUGCCAUUUGUCAGAGACAUGAGACUGUACUUUCACAGCAACAUUGACAAGAACUGUGUGCCAGCUUUCAAGUGAGCCUUUCCACUCAUGUAAAAACUGCCAUUGUGCCCUAAAGAGACAUACACUGCUGCUGGUUAGCAUGCAUUUUUGAAUGUUGAUAUCUUAUAUGUUUAUUUUAUUAUAUUCUGUUUUUUUUAUUUACAGUGAAUUCACCCAGAGGAAGAGAAUGUGCAGAAGUUUAGCGUCACUGUAGCGUGUGUCAAAUAAUAUCGCAGAAUAUUAACACAUACAUAUAUAUAUGUAUGGGUGCAAUUGACAUGGCUUGCACUUAGUCUCAGGGUCAAAUACAAUUUGUGACUCAUAAUCACGUGAGAUCAGUAGCUGCUUCUGCUUUUUUUUUUUUUAAAUCUCUAAUCAUUCCCUAUCUCUCUGUUGUUUAUCUCUGUGUUUUUAAGGACAGAUAACUAGGCAGCGUUAUCUAGACAUUUCCAUUUAUUUUGAAAGCUCAGAUAUACAGUGCAUGUUGGUAAAACAUGUCUGCUCUUUAUUUGUGUUAUGCAAUCUUCCUUUGCAUCGUAUCGGCUGAUGGUGAGUGGUAUUUAUAUGGUUUAAUAGUUUUCUAUUGGGAGAGUCAUAUACUUUUAAGAGUUAAUGAAAACAUUUGUCCUAUUUCACAUUUACUACUGUUGCAUUAACAUUUAUUAAAAGAUU